CUGAACGGUCCCUAGGUCCUCGUUCAUCAUGGCGACGCUGGCCUGUGCUCUGACCCUGAUCCUUCUCAGCCAUAUUGUCGGCUCUAUUGGACUGUUCGGCAAUAUAGACAAGGGCCCUACAUGGAUAGACUACAAGAAGGUGGAACUGGAUAAACAAGGGUGGAUGACGUUUAAGAUCCUAGAAGCUGCCCCAAUCCCUAACGACCCGGAUGCUGAGAGAAAAAGCCUCUUCGGGUGAUCUGAUCAGACUCGGCAAUGACGUCACAGAUCAAGGCACGUACGGGCAGCCAUUGGUGAAUUAAAACGAGGCAAUACAUUUUGUGAAGAAAGCAAUUGUAGAUUAAAACUGCGUGGCCU